CUUUGUUUUUUUUUUUCUGAACAGAGAAGAAUUCUAGAUUUUCUAUGAUUUCAACACGAAAACAAGAAAUCAAUACAUUUGCUUCUAAAUCGUGACGCUCUAAACAGAACCCAUGUACUAGAAAUCUAGAUCUGCCAACUUUAACUUUGAAAUUUCCGCAACCCAAGAAUUUUUUUUCCCGAUAUCGAAAACCCUAACUUUGUUGAGAAUUGAUUGUGCUUCUAAUAGCCAACAGCUGGUUUAUCAUCGGGUGCAGCGCUGCUAGAUGACAUGUCUUCAAAAGAACUUCAGGGUUGAAAAUGCUCGUCUCAAGGAAGAUUAAGACCGAGUUUGUGCAUUCGCCAGUAAAUUCUAGGGUGGCAUCAUUCUUCUAUGGGUGAACCACUGCCUCCUUCAGUGCAAAUGAGUUCAGCAAUUUUAUCGUGUGCAUAAUAAGACUGAAUGGUGGAGAUUGAUUGGUGUUGUGAGUCCAACAAUGAAUAUGAGACUUGUGUUUGUUUCAGUGAAGACUUAUAGGGAAAAUUGAUUUGAACCCUAUUGGGUUACUGGAUCCAAGCUUGCCCGGUCAAAUGCAUGCUUAAGAACUGAUGUACCACUUCGUAUGGAACUAAUGGAAUGACGUUGCAUUUCUAAAAUCAACAAACAGUUGAAGGCUCAGGCCUUGGACUUUGUUACUUGUUAAGCUCUAUUAAUGCCAUUGAUGGUGCAAAUGUAUGGUUCUAGCUACUGUAAGUCUGAGAUUAAUUUAAUGCCGUAUCUCUGUGAAAUCUGUCGUAUGCAUUAAUAAAGGAGGUUGAAUAGGCACAACACUAUAAAGGAUUCUCGUUUUGGUUUGUUUGUUUAGAGUACUUUGAUUCCACUCCCAACAGUCCGUAUUCAGUGCCAUAAGAUGGAAGCUUCUUUGGAAUUUAAUCAUUUUGGUAUAUGAUUAACUUGAACUAAAAUCAUUUUAGUAUACAGGACUACUAAAAUCAUUUCAUUUGAGUGCUAUUUUAGACUUCUGAUUCAUACUUAUCAUGUUGACUAGCACAUAACUUGAAAUUCAUUCUUUUGACAGUAUCUUGAAUAAUUGAAAUUAUCUUAGCCAAUUUGAAUCCAAUUUUACCUUGUGUAAUGAGUGUACCAUAGAAAUUUCGACGCAAUCAGGUAACGCUAGCUACUGUAAACCUUGAAUAAAUUGUGGCUGUGUUUUCUGAAACGGGAAUUCUCCACAGCUCGUUCAUUCAAAUUUAUCUCGUUAUGAGGUUAUUGAAAAGCAAGAUAGAAACGGUAAUGAUUUUCUUUAUUUCUGCUAUGAACUUCUUAAGUUUAUUUUGUUGCUGAUUUGAGCUAUUAAUUGACUCCCACUUGAGUUAACAAUCGCCUUAAAUGCCUUAAGAAUGUAACGUCAUAACAGGGUUCUGAUUCGGCAACUCAUUUGUUGCUAUUUGAAGCCAAUAUAGUCUGUAUCAAGGUAUGCAUAUUCACACUGUAUCAUGCUCUGGUGUUUGAAGCAAGCAGUCGUGUUAUUCUAUUUCUGCAAACUAAUUUGUGUACUUUCAUUGGUGUAGUAUUCUCACAGACUUGUGUCAUUCAUGGUGAGCUCAAUACAGUUGGUUUGUCUAUUCAUGUAUGACUUUAUACUUACAAGUUUGGUUUCUGAAUUUAAGAUUUUAUUUUUGGGGUUCUAAGUUUCGUACUGGGUGUUUGGAUUGUAACUUCACCAACUAAUAUGAUAUUGACUUUUCUGAACAGCUGAAUAGCUUGUUCGCACUGGGUGUUUGUCUACUCCAAACUCUUCUCUUAACCUUUAAUAGUGAGAAAUAGUGUCUUCUUAUUUCCUGUAUUAUGUAAAUCAGCAAGUGAUCUUAUAAGUUCAGUUUUGCUGGAACAGGUUGGAGAAGCUAAAAAUCUUGUUCGUACUCUUUUCAAGGUUGCGAUUUCAAGGCAGCCUUCUGUGAUCUUCAUGGAUGAGGUGCAAUAAUAAGCCACGAGAAUUAGAUGAUGCUGUUCUUCACAGACUGACUAAGAUGAAACUAUUAUGAUCCAUUACAAGUCAUCUUUUUACAUUACAGGGGGAGAUUUGGAAAGACUUGUAAAAGAGACAGAAGGUUAUUCCGGAAGGGAUCUGUAAGCCUUGUGCGAAGAAGCUGCUAUGAUGCCAAUUAGAGAACCUGAAUCGAACAUUGGGGUGAGCUGAAGGUGCAGAAAAGCAACGACCCUGUGAUUAAACCAAGCAAUGGGGUGUGCUGCAGGUUGAGAAGCAGGUGCAGAAACCUGAGCGAGCCAAAUUCCAGUUUUUUCUUCAAAACCUGAUUACAUUUUGCAACGAUAUAAAUGUUGGUGAACAUGAUUUGCUGAUUUCUUAGAACGUAUAUAAGUGUCUCCUAUGGAGAUGACAUAAUGUCUCAAAACAUGAUGUCAUCUUUUUAUGUGGGACCUACUGAC